CAGGCUGCAACUCGCCUGUAUGAAGUCGGAACUGCUAGUAAUCGUGGAUCAGCAUGCCACGGUGAAUACGUUCCCGGGCCUUGUACACACCGCCCGUCACACCAUGAGAGCCGGGAACACCCGAAGUCCGUAGUCUAACCUAUAUGGAGGACGCGGCCGAAGGUGGGUUUGGUAAUUGGGGUGAAGUCGUAACAAGGUAAC
rnacentral:rRNA from 1 species